rnacentral:rRNA from 1 species
AGCGAACGCUGGCGGCAGGCCUAACACAUGCAAGUCGAACGAACCUUUCGGGGUUAGUGGCGGACGGGUGAGUAACACGUGGGAACGUGCCUUUAGGUUCGGAAUAACUCAGGGAAACUUGUGCUAAUACCGAAUGUGCCCUUCGGGGGAAAGAUUUAUCGCCUUUAGAGCGGCCCGCGUCUGAUUAGCUAGUUGGUUGAGGUAAUGGCUCACCAAGGCGACGAUCAGUAGCUGGUCUGAGAGGAUGAUCAGCCACAUUGGGACUGAGACACGGCCCAAAAUCCUACGGGAAGCAGCAGUGGGGAAUCUUGCGCAAUGGGCGAAAGCCUGACGCAGCCAUGCCGCGUGAAUGAUGAAGGUAUUAGGAUUGUAAAAUUCUUUCACCGGGGACGAUAAUGACGGUACCCGGAGAAGAAGCCCCGGCUAACUACGUG